AUUGAACGCUGGCGGCAGGCCUAACACAUGCAAGUCGAGCGAGCGGCGGACGGGUGAGUAAUGUAUGGGGACCGCCCGAUAGAGGGGGAUAACUACUGGAAACGGUAGCUAAUACCGCAUACUAUCGGCUAACCCAUAUGGGAUUAGCUAGUAGGGGGGGUAAAGGCUCACCAAGGCAACGAUCCGUAGCUGGUUUGAGAGGACGACCAGCCACACUGGGACUGAGACACGGCCCAGACUCCUACGGAGGAAGCAGUAGGGAAUUUUGGACAAUGGGGGAAACCCUGAGCCAGCCAUCCCGCGUGUAUGAUGAAGGCCUUCGGGUUGUAAAGUACUUUUGGCAGAGAAGCGGUAUCUGCAGAAUAAGCACCGGCUAACUACGUGCCAGCAGCCGCGGUAAUAC
rnacentral:rRNA from 1 species